CUUCCUGAUAUACACACAACUGCCUGCCUGCCUGCUUCCCAGUGCAUUGUGCUAACACACAGAGCAGGAGGAUUGUGAUCUCUUCUCCCUUUUCAGGCUGCCUACACAUCAUCCCAGGAGUGGACAACUUCACAUGUCUUGAUCAGGAGGAAGGUGACUCUGGAAUGUGAUUUAAAGAAGCCAAAAUGAGCUGGUUUCCACCCCUCAAAUCUUGGCCACUUUUUAUUCUGACAAUACAGUCACAAGCUCAGUUCUGAUAUAUAUUUUUUUCCUCUUCUACAAAUACUGGAGGAUUGGAGUAAAGCAAAAAAACAAAAAAAAAUCAAAACAAAAGAAAAAAAAAAUACAAAAGAGAGAGAGAAAAAAAAAAAUCCCAAAACCUAAAAAGCAAACACCACUUUGUAAUCCUUAGCCAAAAAGAUAGAAAGACAGGAAGAAAGCUGAUUCUUUUUGGUAACUGGUUAAUCAGGAUUAUACAUUUUUUUUUUCUUUUUUUUUGGUGCAAAUGGAUUUUAAAAAGUGUUAGAUCUUUCAAAUGAACGCUUGUGGAGUUCUCUGUUCCUGGCUGGAUUACACAGAGAACUGCAAUGCUCUCUGCAAUGUCUUGGAUUUUGGGUUUGUGGAUAAGUUCAUGUACAUUGUUGUACUGUCAGGGAUCUCUACACCACACCUUCCAGCAACAUCACCUCCACAGACCAGGUAGGAACGAUUCCGAUACCACCUACUCUUUCAUAUCAGGAUUCUCUUCAGGUCACUUUCCGAAUCACAGAAAAUUUGGAGAAAUCGAAGGAGGAACUUGUGAGGUUAUAGCAGCACACAGAUGCUGUAAUAAGAAUCGAAUUGAGGAGAGAUCACAAACAGUGAAAUGUUCUUGUCUCCCUGGGAAGGUCGCAGGUACAACCAGAAACCGACCCUCUUGUGUUGAUGCUUCCAUCGUAAUUGGAAAGUGGUGGUGUGAGAUGGAACCAUGCCUAGAGGGAGAAGAAUGCAAAACCCUUCCUGAUAACUCUGGGUGGAUGUGUGCCACUGGCAAUAAGAUAAAGACCACAAGAUUUCAGGGUCACUCAUGAGCACCUUGAUUCAAGGCAACAUGGCAUCUGAGAGGCCCUGAAACCUCGUAGAUUCAUCCGAGAGCCUAAUCCUAUUUUCCUGGAUGGAUAUCACAGGAAUCCACUGAUAUAAGAUGAGGCCAUAUUCAAAUUUACUAAGGAUUUACAAGCCAAAUGGAUAUUUUACUUGCACUUUUGACUUUUUAAUGAAAUACUUUUUGAUUUCACUAUGUGAAAUAAAGCAAUCCAUGGGCGCAAAAACAAAUACACCUUGGGACUUUGCCAAGAAAGUGGAAACAUUUAGAACAUAUACCGGUACUUAAUUUCAUUUAAAUGUAUUUAUUUUUGUUGUGGUAAAAUACAAAGCUCGAUCCUCUGGAUUUACAACUUUAUUUGCACCAUCUAGAAAAAUGUGUAAAUAUUUCCUGUACCUUACUUCAAGAUGACUACAGAUGAUUCACCCCUCUCUUUUAUUUCUGGAACCAUAUUGCAUUUGUAUAGAUAAGGAAAACAUCCUAAUCUUGGAUCAAAUUCAAAAACUACGAGAGCUACAAAAAACCUAUGUGGAAUCAAGAUCUUCCUUAAAUUCCAAAUGAAUGCGUUGCGAAAAUAUAUUGAUUUUUUUUUUUUUAUCAUUAUCAUCAUUGUGUUGCAGAGGCUUUUUACCCAUUUGUGAUUAUAGCAUGCAGGCUUUGAUUAUAUCAAUGUUUUUAUUCAAUCAAAAAAAACGUACACCGAUCUUUCAUGCCUCUUCCAACAAAGUAUUUUCUAACAUACAGAAGCAUCUACACAGAUGUGGAAAGAUUUCAAAGUUGAAAAGAACAUCAAUAACAGCUUCUUAUAACACAGUUGGUUUGGGCAGACUGCGGAUUACGGUAUAUUUGUAUUACAGUUCUAUAUAUACGAUGUCUGCAAAAUUUGUAUAACCGGUACUGUAUGCAGUAAUCCUUAUCCAACUCCGUUUUGCACUUGCUUACCCUGCACAGUAAAGUUCUCUCUGAAUAUCACUGUUUUCUUUUUUUUAUUGUUUGUUUUGUUUUAUUUAUUGGUAUUUUGUUCAUUUU